GGGGUGGGGCCGCGCUCAUUUUCUCAUUUUCCCUCCUUUCCCCAAAGGAUGGGCCCGUUCCCAGCUGCGGGCGGGCUGGGGGCGCAUCCCCGCGGGCACCCCCUGAAGUGGGGAGCGCUUUGGGAAGGAAGGAGCAGGGACAGAACGAGCGCCGCGGCGGGGACAGACGGCCCCGGGCGCCAGGGCCGGGCUGAGCCCGGCUGCCCGCCGGGGUUUAUCCCUUUAUCUCCCGCGGAAAGCGGCUCCAUCAGCUCCGGCAUCGUCUCUGCAUCCUGAGCGGAGCGGGGAGGGGAGGACGCGGGGGCGGCUCUGCCCAGCAGCCCUGCCCGGAGCCCCGAGCCCUGCCCGGAGCCCCGGAGCCCCGAGCCCUGCCCGGAGCCCCGCAGCCCCGCAGCCCCUGCCUCGCCGCCUCCUCCUCCCUCCCUCACCAUGCUGGACAUUUUCAUCCUGAUGUUUUUCGCCAUCAUCGGCCUGGUGGUGCUGUCCUACAUCAUUUACAUGCUCUAAAGAGCCGCGGCCCGACAUGCGGCUCAGCAGCGGCCUCGCCGGCCGAGCGGCGGCCAGGUGAGCUCCGAGCCCCUCCAGCCUCCGCCCGCCGCGCAUCCCUCGGAGCCUUCUGGAACAGCGUUAACCUCUGCGAGCCCGGCGCGGAGCACGGAGCGGUCACGGAGCCGGGGACGGGAAUGGGGGGACACGGGAGGGGGCUCCGAGGGGCUGCCCCGCUGCCGCCACCCGGCUGAUCCCCCUGUCAGGAGCCGUGUCCUUCCCGCUGCCGGGACCUGGGAUGCUCCCGGUGACGCACGCGGUGUCCCCAGGGGGAUGCCCAGGGUCCUGUCCCCCCCUCGUGUCCUGUCCCCUCGGUCUGAGGCCGCUCAUCUGGGCUUAAUUUUAGGAAGUGGCUUCUAUUUUUGAUGAGCGAUGUUCAGGGAGCGGAAUAAAGAGGAAUGGCACAGGAGAGGGAA